AUGAACGCUGGCGGCGUGCUUAACACAUGCAAGUCGAACGAAGCACUUUAACCUGAUUCUUCGGAUGAAGGUUUUUGUGACUGAGUGGCGGACGGGUGAGUAACGCGUGGGUAACCUGCCUCAUACAGGGGGAUAACAGUUAGAAAUGACUGCUAAUACCGCAUAAGACCACAGAGCCGCAUGGCUCGGUGGGAAAAACUCCGGUGGUAUGAGAUGGACCCGCGUCUGAUUAGGUAGUUGGUGGGGUAACGGCCUACCAAGCCAACGAUCAGUAGCCGACCUGGGAGGGUGACCGGCCACAUUGGGACUGAGACACGGCCCAAACUCCUACGGGAGGCAGCAGUGGGGAAUAUUGCACAAUGGGGGAAACCCUGAUGCAGCGACGCCGCGUGAGCGAAGAAGUAUUUCGGUAUGUAAAGCUCUAUCAGCAGGGAAGAAAAUGACGGUACCUGACUAAGAAGCACCGGCUAAAUACGUG
rnacentral:rRNA from 1 species